rnacentral:rRNA from 1 species
UACAGAGGUCUCAAGCGUUGUUCGGAUUCAUUGGGCGUAAAGGGUGCGUAGGUGGCGCGCUAAGUCAGGUGUGAAAUUUCGGAGCUUAACUCCGAAACUGCAUUUGAUACUGGCGUGCUUGAGGACUGGAGAGGAGACUGGAAUUCACGGUGUAGCAGUGAAAUGCGUAGAUAUCGAGAGGAACACCAGAGGUGAAGACGGGUUGCUGGGCUGACACUGACGCUGAGGCGCGAAAGCCAGGGGAGCAAACGGG